CUCCGAUCUCUGCUGCCGUUUUUAAGAGGCUUUUUAAAAUCCUUAUAAAAGAGUGCUUAGGGGUGCCUCAGGAGUUUUACCAUCAUUCGGUUACCCUCUAUGUGCAUGCAAGUUGGGCUGCAAGGUUUUACAGGAUUUCUCUCUCUUUGGACUCAGCCAAAAAACAAGUGGAUCACGUCGGGGUCACCAGUGUCGUCAGACGUUACCGGUGUGGUGCUCUGCUCUGUUCAAUGAUAACAGUCGGCUGCGUGUGUGUGUGUUCUCCCUGUGUGCUGUCCCAGCUCUGCGCAGAUCGCUGGCACAGCAGAUCUCGAGUGAACCGCCCAAUGACCACAGACUCUAAUAAGGUUUUGUCACCCAGAUUUCACACAGCCCUGAUUUGGAUCAUCUAUUUGACGCAGCCUC